UACAGAGGGUGCAAGCGUUGUUCGGAAUUAUUGGGCGUAAAGGGCGCGUAGGCGGUGCGGUAAGUCUUUUGUGAAAUCUCCGGGCUCAACUCGGAGUCUGCAGGAGAAACUGCCGUGCUGGAGUAUGGGAGAGGUGAGUGGAAUUCCCGGUGUAGCGGUGAAAUGCGCAGAUAUCGGGAGGAACACCAAUUGCGAAGGCAGCUCGCUGGGACGUCACUGACGCUGAGACGCGAAAGCGUGGGGAGCAAACAGG
rnacentral:rRNA from 1 species